rnacentral:sRNA from 1 species
CAGAAUCUUCUUUCUU